UACGUAGGGGGCAAGCGUUAUCCGGAUUUACUGGGUGUAAAGGGAGCGUAGACGGUUACGCAAGUCUGGAGUGAAAGGCGGGGGCCCAACCCCCGGACUGCUUUGGAAACUGUAUAACUGGAGUGCAGGAGAGGGCGGUGGAACUCCAUGUGUAGCGGUAAAAUGCGUAGAUAUAUGGAAGAACACCAGUGGCGAAGGCGGCCGCCUGGCCUGUUGCUGACGCUGAGGCACGAAAGCGUGGGGAGCAAAUAGG
rnacentral:rRNA from 1 species